CUGAAAUUGUACCACAAUGUUUAAUACCUCAAGUAGAAGGUUUGGAUUCAUUUAAGGGGUUAUGGUGCAAACAGUUUAGGAAUUAGGGACCAAAAAGGGGCCAAAAACAACUAUUUAAUUAGUUUCCAGACAAUAACUUGUGUGUAAGUGUAUGAACCUCUCUGAGGCCAACCUUAAAAAUAUGUUUGUUUGCAGUUUUCCGACUGUACCUUCAGACUGAAGGGUCGGUAGGUAGGAAAAAUUUUAUUUUAUCAGCCAAAAUACAGUUUAAACAAGCAGUUACACUAAACCAAGUUUCUUGUGAAGAAAAAAAAAACAUUUUAAAACAACAAACACUGGACAUGCUGAAAACCAACAUCAAAUGAACAGGCAUUUUCAGAUAAAAGACUUUUUAACCAAAACUGAAACUUAGUGUCAUUAUCCAAUUUAUGACAUAAAAUAUGGUACAUGUAUAAUUAUAAGGCCAAUUAAAAUUAAUUGAUAAUUUUUUCCCGCCCGCCCCUAUGAAAUCGGCC
rnacentral:lncRNA from 1 species